UACAGAGGUCUCAAGCGUUGUUCGGAUUCAUUGGGCGUAAAGGGUGCGUAGGCGGCGCGGUAAGUCGGGUGUGAAAUCUCGGAGCUUAACUCCGAAACUGCAUUCGAUACUGCCGUGCUUGAGGACUUGGAGAGGAGACUGGAAUUUACGGUGUAGCGGUGAAAUGCGUAGAUAUCGUAAGGAAGACCAGUGGCGAAGGCGGGUCUCUGGACAGUUCCUGACGCUGAGGCACGAAGGUCAGGGGAGCAAACGGG
rnacentral:rRNA from 1 species